rnacentral:rRNA from 1 species
AUGCUAACGGCGACGAAGUCUCUGGUAGGCGGUGCAUGUGCCGCCCCGUCGCCGGCCCGGCGGCGGACGUUCGUGGUGCCCGAGGCUCGCCGGAAACCAGGCAAUGGCCGCCGCACCAGUGUGUCCAAGGUUGGCAGCACCAGCACCACCACCACUACCACCACCACCUUGUCGUCCGACUCCAAUGGGACGGCCGUUGGCACGGUCACCCGCCCAGACGCCCACGUCCGGGACCGCACGCAGACCACCGAGAUGAAGGCCACGGUGACGGUGCACAUGAGUAAGGCAGCCGGGGUUCGUGAUUUCCUGUACGAUCUCAUCCUCAAAACUUGGUUGCAUGUUGACCUCGUCAGCUCCGAAUUGGAUCCACAAACGGGGCAGGAGUGGGAGCCCAUCUCCGGGGCCGUCAAGCACUCAGGUAGAGUGGACGACGAGUGGGACAUGUACGAGGCCACCUUCAAGGUGCCGGGAUCCUUUGGACCCAUUGGCGCCGUUCAAGUCACAAACUACCACCACAGCGAGAUGUUGCUGGGGGACAUCGAGGUCUUCCCCACCGGCCAGGAGGAGUCCGCCGUCACGUUCCACUGCAACUCCUGGAUCGACCCAUCUCACUGCACCCCCGACAAGCGUGUUUUCUUUCCCGCGCGCUCGUACCUUCCGUCGCAGACGCCCAAGGGCGUGGAGGCGUUGCGCAAGCGUGAGCUCGAGAUCCUCCGCGGCACCGGCUGCGGCGAGCGCAAGGAACACGACCGCAUCUACGACUACGAUGUGUACAAUGACCUCGGCAACCCCGACGACGAAAAGAACCCCACCACACGGCCCGUGCUGGGUGGCAAGGAGCACCCCUACCCGCGGCGCUGCCGCACGGGCCGCCCUCGCAGCAAGAAAGACCCGUUUUCGGAGGAGAGGAGCCACAAGGACCACAUCUACGUGCCCCGGGACGAGGCCUUCACGGAGCGCAAGAUGGGAGCCUUCGACACCAAGAAGUUCAUGUCGCAGCUGCACGCCCUGACCACGGGCAUAAAGACCGCCAAACACAAGGACCAGAGCUUCCCCUCCUUGUCGGCCAUUGACAAGCUGUACGACGACAACUUCAGGAACCAGCCGGUGCAGCCCGAAGGGGGGAAGCUCAGGUUCGUCAUCGAUUUGCUUGAGACGGAGCUGCUCCACCUCUUCAAGCUCGAAGGGGCCGCGUUCCUCGAGGGGAUACGCAGGGUCUUCAAGUUUGAGACGCCAGAGAUUCAUGACAGGGACAAGUUUGCUUGGUUCAGAGACGAGGAGUUUGCGCGACAAACCAUCGCAGGGAUGAACCCAUUGAGCAUCCAACUAGUCACGGAGUUUCCUAUCAAGAGCAAGUUGGACGAGGCAACCUACGGCCCGGCAGACUCCCUCAUCACUGAAGAGCUGGUUGAAGAGCAGAUCAGACGUGUCAUGACAGUUGAGGAGGCCGUGGCUAACAAGAAGCUCUUCAUGCUGGACUACCAUGACUUGUUGCUGCCAUACGUCCUCAAGGUCCGCAAGCUCGAGGGCACCACCUUGUACGGCUCGCGCGCGCUCUUCUUCCUCACCGCCGACGGCACGCUCCGGCCCAUCGCCAUCGAGCUCACCAGGCCCAAGUCCAAGCGCAAGCCGCAGUGGCGCCAGGUCUUCACGCCUGGAUGCGACGGCAGCGUCACGGGGUCCUGGCUGUGGCAGCUCGCCAAGGCCCAUGUCCUGGCUCACGACGCCGGCGUCCACCAGCUCGUCAGCCACUGGCUGAGGACGCACGCCUGCACCGAGCCCUACAUCAUCGCCGCCAACCGGCAGCUCAGCCAGAUGCACCCCGUCUACCGCCUGCUGCACCCGCACUUCCGCUUCACCAUGGAGAUCAACGCGCAGGCGCGCGCGAUGCUCAUCAACGCCGACGGGAUCAUCGAGGGCUCCUUCGCGCCCGGGGAGUACUCCAUUGAGCUCAGCUCCGUGGCUUACGACCAGCAGUGGCGGUUCGACAUGGAGGCCCUGCCGGAAGACCUCAUCCGGAGGGGCAUGGCGGUCAGGAAGGAGAAUGGCGAGCUGGAGCUGGCCAUAGAGGACUACCCCUACGCCAACGACGGCCUGCUCAUCUGGGACGCCAUCAAGGAGUGGGCGUUGACCUACGUGGAGCACUACUACCCGUGCACCGCGGACAUCGUCGAUGACGAGGAGCUCCAGGCUUGGUGGACCGAGGUGCGCACCAAAGGCCACGCCGACAAGCAGGACGAGCCGUGGUGGCCCGAGCUGGACAGCCAUGAGAACCUGGCGCAGGCCCUGGCGACCAUCAUGUGGGUCACGUCGGCGCAUCACGCCGCCGUCAACUUCGGGCAGUACCCCAUGGCCGGGUACAUCCCCAACCGCCCGACCAUGGCCCGGAGGAACAUGCCGACCGAGAUGGGUGGCGACGACAUGCGCGCGUUCGUGGAGGCGCCGGAGAAGGUGCUGCUGGACACGUUCCCGUCCCAGUACCAGAGUGCCAUAGUCCUUGCCAUCUUGGACCUCCUGUCGACGCACUCGUCGGAUGAGGAGUACAUGGGCACGCACGAAGAGCCGUCAUGGAAACAGGAUGGGGUGAUCAGGCAGGCAUUUGACAAGUUCAAGGAGAGGACUAGGGACAUCGUGGAGCAGGUGGACGAGUGGAACAACGACCCCGACCGGAAAAACCGGCACGGCGCCGGCAUGGUGCCGUAUGUGCUGCUCAGGCCAUCGGACGGUGAUCCUACGGACGAGAAGAUGGUGAUGGAGAUGGGAAUCCCCAACAGCAUCUCCAUUUGA